UCAUAAUAUUAUGUUUCAAAUCUUUGAGAAGAGCAACCGCAGAGUUUCAUGCUGGUCCUUCUCGGUAGGAAAGACAUAACGAACCAGUAGUGAAUGCAUUU